AAACUCCAAAUCAAAGUCAUAAUUUGUACAAGUAAACUAUUAUAGGUCAAAAUACGAUCUUCAACAGGAAGCACACACCAAACAGCAAGUUAUAAAGGGGCCCCCAAAAAUGACUAUUGAAAAAAACAUUCAAACGGGAAAACCAACGGAUUAAUCAAUAUAAAAACGAGAAAUAAGAAACACAAACCACAUCAACAAACGACAACCAUGCACUGAACAUCAGGUUCCUAAAUUAGGACAGGUGCAAAUAUAAAUGCAGCAGGUUUAAACGUUUUAAAUAGCAUAUUACAUGUUUUUAAU
rnacentral:lncRNA from 1 species